AUUGAACGCUGGCGGCAGGCCUAACACAUGCAAGUCGAACGGUAGCACAGAGAGCUUGCUCUCGGGUGACGAGUGGCGGACGGGUGAGUAACGUCUGGGAAACUGCCCGAUGGAGGGGGAUAACUACUGGAAACGGUAGCUAAUACCGCAUAACGUCGCAAGACCAAAGUGGGGGACCUUCGGGCCUCACACCAUCGGAUGUGCCCAGAUGGGAUUAGCUAGUAGGUGGGGUAAGGGCUCACCUAGGCGACGAUCCCUAGCUGGUCGGAGAGGAUGACCAGCCACACUGGAACGGAGACACGGUCCAGACUCCUACGGGAGGCAGCAGUGGGGAAGAUUGCACAAUGGGCGCAAGCCUGAUGCAGCCAUGCCGCGUGUAUGAAGAAGGCCUUCGGGUUGUAAAGUACUUUCAGCGGGGAGGAAGGCGGUGAAGUUAAUAGCUUCACCGAUUGACGUUACCCGCAGAAGAAGCACCGGCUAACUCCGUGCCAGCCGCCGCGGUAA
rnacentral:rRNA from 1 species